AUGUAGUUACUUAGUGGCGGACGGCUGAGUAACGCGUGGGAACGCACCCUACACUGAGGGAUAAGAUACCGAAAGGUGUUCUAAUACCGCAUACGGUCUUCGGAUUAAAGUCUUCGGACGGUGAAGGAGCGGCCCGCGUCAUAUUAGGUAGUUGGUGGGGUAAUGGCCUACCAAGCCGAUGAUGUGUAGCUGGUCUGAGAGGAUGAUCAGCCAGACUGGAACUGAGAACGGUCCAGACUCCUACGGGAGGCAGCAGCC
rnacentral:rRNA from 1 species